UUUUUUCCUAUUAUCUAUUUAACUCCUCUCUCUACUCUCCCCUUUCUCACAGAACCAACCACCCAUCGCCGCCCAGCUUCGCCGCAGGAAAUCGCCCACUGGCGGCGGCCGUCCUCCAAACACCCUCAAAUUACACCAUUCUUUUCCUCUCCUCACCCACCAAAACUUGACAAACCCAAACCCUGGUCGCGCUGCCGCCUCUGCCCCGCCGCGCGCCACCGCCCAAAGCCCCUCAAAAUUUCACUAGCUCCUCCUAACCUCCUGCUCUUUCCUAUUCCAUACCCUAAAAUCCUCAAAACCCUCUCCCUCACCUCAUGCUACUACCUCUGUCGCCACCACCACAGCUCGCCACCGCAUCGGCCAACCUAGACCAUCAGUAGCCCUUCAUUUUUAGACUAUUCCUGACCAAGAAUGUUCGUUUCUCCUUAGCACAAUGCUAGAACUCAUUUGUUUUGGCGUGUUCUAGAAAGAAACGCCCGUUCAAGGUUAGGCUGUCAUGGCUUGUCUUCAUGGGCAUCUCCUCGUUUGAUUUGGCAUCGGCUUCCAUCGUUUGGUAUAACCCUAUUCCCUCUUUCCUUUCUUUUUCUUUUUUUCUUUCUUCUCUCUUCUUCUUCUCUGAUUCUCCGUGUGUAUUUUUCAUUAGGUUUAGGGAUUAAUCAUAGUCAUGAUUUUGUUAGUCGUAUUAUCAGUGUAUGUUAAUUCAGUAAUUCGUUGUUAUUCUGGAAUCAUAUGUUUCUUCAUAUCUUUAAAUUAGUUUUUUUGACCUUGCCGGUCGAUUAGCUUGUAUAUAGUUCGUCAGUUUUGAUUUUUGAUUCUUCGACCUAGCUGGUCAACUAUUUCAUAAGCAUUUGUUAUCUUUCUUCUCUCUUCUUCUCUGAUUUUCAUGUGUAUUUUUAUUACGUUUCGAGAUUAAUCGUUAGUCAUGAUUCUAUUAGUCGUAUUAUCAGUGUAUGUUAUUUUAGUAAUUCAUUGUUAUUCUGGAAUCAUAUAUUUAUUCAUAUGUUUUAAUUAUAUUUUUUUUACCUUGUCAUUUGAUUAGUUCGUAUAUAGUUCGUCAUUUAUGAUUUUUGAUUCUUCGACCUAGCUGGUCGACUAUGUCAUAUGCAUUUAUUCUUGCUAAACUUUUAGUUUUAUCGACCUAAACGGUCGAUUGUUUGUUUGCUCGUGCUUGUUACUCUUGGAUAUUUGUUUCUCGACCUAGCCGGUCGAUUAUUUUGUCGUUUGUUUGAAUAUUAAGUUAGUCACGACUACAAAUGAUGGAUUCAAUUCAAAUUGUUGAAUUGUUUAAUUCACCGGGUUAGUCGGUUCAUUGAAUGAUUUGUUAAGCUUGACCUUAUCUUCCUUUGUGCAUGAUUUGAGUUUGAGUUUUCAGCUUAAAUAAGUCAUGUAUUGGUUAAAAACUGAAGUAGUGAGAAAUACACGAGUAUAGGGUACUUGUUUGGUUGCUUUUACUGUUUAAAAGGCUGUUUGGAGUACACUGCUCUUAGCACUGUUCGUAGUUGGGGAGGAACUAUCUUACAGACAGAUUUUUGACCAAAAAAUAUGUCCUUUGAUCAGUUGGGACAGAUUUUAGGUGGAAAAUCCGUCCUUUCGAUAGAUUGAAUGAAAUAAUUCAAUCCCUCUCCUUUCCUGUAAAGGAAAAGGUCUUUCCUCAUUUAAAGAUGGGGGGAAGACAAGCUAUCUUACAUUAGAACAGAUAGCUUCUGAAAAUCUUUAACACUGAGAAAAAUACAAAAACUUUGAGAAACAUCAGCAGCUAAAACAACGAAAAGUGAGCUGAAAAACUGAAAGUUUGCAAGUUCUUUCUUCCUUUCCUAAGUCGGUGAGCUUUUGGUCUGGGUUUCUAAGUCACUUCGGAUCUAAAAGACUAUUGUUCGAUUGUUGUUUCAUUUGGCUGGAGUUUGGUUUGCUGGUUCCCUGCUCUGCUGUCUGUUUUUCUUCUAUUUUCUGCAAAUUAGGUAUUUUUUAGCUCUCUAAUUUAGCUUUUAGCUGCAUAAAGCUAUUGCAAUGAAUGUGUUGAUAUGUUAUUAUUGUUACUUUAUAUUUGUGUUUGAUGUUUUGCUCAUAAAUGGAUGAAUGAAUGUUCAACUUCAUGAAUAUGUGCUCUGUUUCUCUUUUAAGUUUCAGCUCUCCUAAACUCAAAAGUUGUACAUGAUUGAAGCUAUGGUGACAGAUUUGUGGCAUAGUUCAGUUGAGGAGCAAGUAAAUAUAAGACACAUUUGAAAUCCUCUGAUAGUUGAUAGCUUAGAUAAAUGUUGAGUUUUUAAGUCGAAGAUGUGUGUAUGGUAGAGUUUAAUCUUAAGAGCAGUUGUACUGAUAUUCUUUGGUUCAAGUUUCUUUUUUGUUUUGAUUAUGAAUUUGUACUAGUUUGCUCUAGUUUUCUUUUAAGGGUUUUUUUCUCUUUUCUUUAAGUUUGACAUAAAUAUUGUUCUCUUAUAUUUUCAUUUGCGUUAGCAGAGUUUUUGCAAAUAAGUUCCAAUACAUGUUAAAGUGCUUGAGUAGAUAACGCUUUUUUUUUUUGUUUAUUUAUUCGUUCUCUAAUUCGAGUAUAAGAAUGAAUACUUAGAAGUUCCUCCUUAGUUUUAAUAUCUUUUAAAAGGUUGUUAAAAUAUAUUUUAGCUUGAAAGGUUGUGUAUCAUUGUGGAGUUAGUAUUCAUGUUAGAGUGAAUUUAGUAGUAAAAUUAUGUUUGUUUAGAAAGAAUGCUCUUCUAUAUAUAUUUUAAGGAAUUUCUGUUGGAUAGUAAAUUAUCAAAUUGAGUUUUUACAUGUGCUUUCUAAAUAUUUAUACGGUAAACUAAAAAGGUAUCUUUUUAUGUCUUAAUUUGUCUUUGUAAAAAUAAAUGUUAAGUUUAAAAAGAAAAGGUUUUGGAUUGUUAGCAGUAUGGGUUUAGGUUUUGGUUCAAAAAAUCAUUUUCAUGCUAAAUAAUUUCAGCGGCCCAACACUAAUAAGAUCCAGCAGCUGAUCCAUUUGUUUAAGUUAAUAACAUAGCUGACACAUUCUGUUUUUAGUCAAGGGCUGGCCCAAUGGCUAAAGUGGUCCAAGGGCCAGCAGUUCAAAUGCCCAAAUUGGUGGUCCAUUCCCCUUUAAUGUUGCAAAUACUAAUAAGAAUCGGUCCACUUUUAGUAAGGAGGUUGUCUAUUCUUUAAAAUAAUAAGCUAACACAAUUCUUAUAUAUAUAUAUAUAUAUAUAUAUAUAUAUUUCAUUGAAUGAUUUGUUAAGCUUGACCUUAUCUUCCUUUGUGCAUGAUUUGAGUUUGAGUUUUCAGCUUAAAUAAGUCAUGUAUUGGUUAAAAACUGAAGUAGUGAGAAAUACACGAGUAUAGGGUACUUGUUUGGUUGCUUUUACUGUUUAAAAGGCUGUUUGGAGUACACUGCUCUUAGCACUGUUCGUAGUUGGGGAGGAACUAUCUACUAAAUAACUUAUAACUUAGUUUCUUUUAUAAUUAAUUAAGUGCUAGAAAAUCAGUAGCCGCACUAUAAUCCUUCUAUUUACGGAAUUGCUUUCAUAGCGUGAUGUUCAACACUCAAUAAAUUAAUUCAACAAUCUCAUGCCAAAUCCGUUAGUUUUAGUCAUUUGUUUUAAUUUUGCUAAUCCUUUGCUAAAAAUCGUGGAUUCUCUGUGCAUAGUGCGGUAAUGACAUUUAAUAAACUUUUAAAAAAGAAAUUUCUCAAAGCAUAAUUGUAGUGAUUUUUCAAAAGUAAAUAACGCACUAAUAAUUGUUUGUCGUGACUGCAAAUUCACUUGCGUAGCGCUGUUAUGACUAAAUAAUAAAUUUCGCCGAUCACGCAUUCGCUUGCGUAGUAUGGUAAUGAAUCUUAUUAUUCACAAAAUGUUCUUUAAUUUUUCUAAUAAACAAGAAAUAAAAGUGGUUAUGUAUAACAUUAAAAGUCAUAUAAAUCACACUUUAGCUGAAAUUAAUUUAAGGCAAAUUUUAAGUCAACAAAGCGACCGUGCUAGAAUCACGAGAUUCUUGGAAUGCCUUGCACCUUCUCCCUGGUCAACAGAAUUUCUGACCCGAACUUUGUUUCCGCGGACCGAUAAAAAUAGAGUCUACUUUCCUUUGACUAGGUAUUUAAAUAAAAGGUGACUUGGAACACCGAAAACUAAUUCCAAGUGGCGACUCUGAACAAUAAAAUUAUCCCUACUUAAAAAAUUGUCACUUAAAUGGAAAAACUCUUUAACCGACAAAUCCAUAAUACACAUAUAUAUUCUUUAGCGGGGGUAGGAAAAAGGAGUGUGACAGCUCUAGCGACUCUGUUGGGGAACUAACCAGAAUUCAAGCUUGUACAUUGUUGACUUUUAUUUGGCUUUAUUAAUUUUGUAUAUAUUGUGAUUCUUCUAUGCCUAAUGUGCUACAUGUUCGCUUUUUACUACUUCAAUAUUGUUAAACAGUACAUAUAAACUGUCUUCUCAUGUACCCCCUCUGAGUCUUCUUGAAAUUAAAUAUUGGGCAUUUGCUUCACAUAGCCUGCUUUCUUUGAGAUAGCUUAUGUGCUUGUCACCCGGUGAAGGAUUUUUGUCACACCUGUUUUAGGCAGGGAGCACCACCAACAAAUCCGGAAAGUAAUGCUACAGGUACGCUGACCUCUUCGACUCGAGUUGUCUGCUUGAGUAAGCCAGUCUAAAUACCUUAUCCAAUAGGAUUUAAACUUAGAAUAACAAACCCUAUGCCGGAUAUCCCUAGUAGGUUCACUUCAUUUGCAUCAUGUGCAUUUGACUUAGCGAAACUCGGCACAGGGGUCGGGUCCGUAUAAGACAGGUAUCCUCUUUGAGACCAUCAUGUUCAUGUAUGUGCUACUUCAUAUAUCAUUGGAAGGCUUACUUGCAUUGUUGACCGGCAUUAGAAAUCAAUUAGUGUAAUUAUUAAAUAAGAAGAAAGAAAACAAAAAAGAGAAUAAUUAUCCUAGUUUAGUGCAAAUAAACCUUUUAUUUUUAAAUAUAAUAUAAUAUAUAUANNNNNNNNNNNNNNNNNNNNNNNNNNNNNNNNNNNNNNNNNNNNNNNNNNNNNNNNNNNNNNNNNNNNNNNNNNNNNNNNNNNNNNNNNNNAUUUCCUAUAUAUAUAUAUAUAUAUAUAUAUAUAUAUAUUGUAGUAGCCUGGUAUGAGUUUUAAUGAUUAAUUUUUUUAAAAAAGGAGAAGAUACCUAGUUUUAUCGAGCUACGCGGGAUAGAUUCUCACUGGAUGUGAGAUACGUAGGCAACCUCCAUCGGGUUUAGCCCACAUAUUUCAGAAAAGGGGAGCAUAAAAUUUCGCGUGUGCAUAAAUGUUUUUUAAAACGCCUAUUUUGGUCACUUUUUUAGUGUCUUGCCCUCAUGUUCCGGCUGUUUUGCCAAGACAGCCUUAAAAUCGUCAUAGAAAGGGCUGAACGGCCAUUUUUGUAAAAAAAAUAGUUACUUUAUCCAUAUUUAUUCACCUUUGACCAUUUUACCCUUUUGUCUUGUCAUUUUUGUCAAGGCAACUUUAGACCUUUCCGGAAGUAUCAAACGAUUGUUUUCGCAAAAAUAGUCAUAUUAUCUAGUUUUGCUGAGACAACCUUAAAACCCUUCUACGAGUAGCAAAGGGUCAUUUUCGUAAAAAAUAUUUUUUUAUUUAUUAUUUUGUCUAUUUUUAUCAUUUUGUUCUUAUGUUUGGUUGUUUUUUCCGAGACAUCCUUUAUGCCUUUUAUGGAAGUAUCAAAGGGUCGUCUUUGUAACAAUAGCUAUUUUUUCCGCUUUUAUCAUCUCAACUUUUGUGUCCGGUAAUAUAUAUUAUAAUAAUUAAAAAAAUAGAUCGCGUCCUAAAAUAAAAUAAAAUAAUGAAUGAUUAUAAUUUGCAUAUAGUUUAGGUAAGUCCUAACCCUUUUUAUCUUAUUCUUAGGAUCACCAUGAGUUCUCCACAAAGAAGCACUCAGAAAAAGGGUAAGGGACGAGACACCUCCUAUGUUCUUGAUCGGAGAUAAGACCCAGAAAGAAACAGUCAGAAAAGGGUAAGGGAUGAGAAACCUCCUAUGUUCUUGAUUAGGGAUAAGACCCCGAGUUGUCUCUUUAAUUGGUGGACCAGUUUUGCUACAGAGGAGCGGAACCAAGUAUUUAAGCACCUCAAGUUUCUCACGAACAUCAUGGGAAUUAAGCCUAACAGAGAUUUAAUCGAGGCUCUAGUUGCUUUUUGGGACCCCUAUGAAAAAUGUCUUCAGGUUCAAAGAUUAUGAAAUGACGCCUACAUUGGAAGAAUUAGGUGGUUUUACCGGAUUGGGGAGAGACAUUCGUGUGAAAAAGCCUGCUGCUCCAAGAAAAGUUGUUGUGAAUAACUUUUUAAAGAAGUUAUGUCUCCGGCGAAUUCCAAUGGUUUGCUUAAAUGAAGGUUGGGUCUCAUUGGAAUAUCUUUAUGAUGGGUUUGGGGACGGGAAAGGGUUUGAAAAGUUCUGGGGCAUAGAAUUCAUCAACCAGUUGAGUUACGACGCUUGGAGGGAGUUGAGAUCUUCGUGUUUAUGAUAUCAUUUCUAGGGAUCGUGGUCUUUCCGGAUCGUGGUGAGCACAUCAGAAUUCAAUUGGUUGCGGUAGUCUCGUAUUUGCAAAGUAAUGAGGAGCAUACCAUUCUUCCUAUGAUUUUGGGAGAUAUUUUUCGAGCUUUGACCUGUUGCCAAGAAGGUGAAGAUUGCUUUGAGGGAUGCAUUGACAGAUGGCGAGGACCCUCCUAAUAUGACAAACAACCCGAUGCCAGCACACAAUGAUGUUCAUUUUGUGAGAAUGAUCGGCCGAGAUCAAGAAUACAAGCUGGUCGGUCAAGAAAAAAUGACGGUGGGAGCAAUUCAAGAAAGAACAAGUUUGGAAGUAAGUCCAAACCGAGAUGUGCCGUCAAUUGUGAAAGGUGCCCCAAACUCAGAAAAGGUAACCUUAUGUGUGCCUAAGGUACCAAGGUUGGAGGUUCUCUCCAAUGUACCAAGCCCAAGGUUGUAUGUCCUUGGAGGGUACACCAUCACAAGGCAGAAUCAGGGAGGUACGAAUGGUAUAACAGAGCCGAUCAUAAUCAAACCCGCUGUGCAACCCCCUGUGAUAAACAUGAAAAACAUUCCUUGGAACUACAACAAGACUGUGAUGACCUACAAAGGCAAGGAAAUCAUGGAGGAAGUGGGGGAAGUUGGACGUUUGACCCGUUCGGGGAGGUUUUACUCUCCAGAAGAGUUGAGGAAGGCCAAGAAAAUCAGAGAAGUCCAAUUGCCAAUAAAGAAACCCGUCACUGAAGCAAGGCGAAAGAGUUUCUGAAGAAGAUGAAAGUUCAGGAUUACUCAAUCAUUGGCCAGCUAAGAAAGACUCCUGCCCAAAAAUCUCUAAUAUCUCUACUCCUACAUUCCAAAAAGCAUGCCCGUGUACUAAUCACGGUCCUGAACAAGGCAUAUAUCUUAGAAGAGACCACAGUGAAUCAGUUAGAGAAGAUGGCCAACAGAUUUUUUGAGGUGAACAGAAUCUCCUUUACUGAUGAUGAACUUCCCGUGGAAGGAGCCGGGCACAAUAGGGCUCUGAACUUGAUGGUCAAAUGUGAAGGGCAUUAUGUAAAGCGAGUCAUGGUUGAUGGAGGCUCAAGCGUAGACGUAUGCCCUCUCUCUACCUUGCAAAGCAUGAUGAUCAAUACAGAUAGAAUCCUACCCAGCAAUGUUCGCAUCCGGGCCUUUGAUGGCUCAGCAAGAGAUACCACUGGGGAGAUCAACCUCACCAUGACGAUUGGGCCAGCUGACUUUGAAAUUGUCUUCCAAGUUGUGGACAUGGCUACUUCUAAUAACUUUCUUCUUGGAAGGACAUGGAUCCAUACAGCCCGAGUUGUGCCAUCCACCUUGCAGCAGAUGCUCAAAUUUGAACAUGACAAGAAAGAAAUUAUUGCACAUGGGGAAGACGAGUCUUCCAUUCAUAAAGACCUGUUAAUCCCCUGUAUUGAGGCCAAGGAAGGUUCUGAGUCCAUUAUCUAUCAGGCUUUUGAAUUGGUUGCUGUGGACCAUGUCAAGGAAGGAAACCCCAUUCUGCAUCCUCGUCUUUCCUCUACAUUCUUAAUGGUGGUUGCAAUUAUGAUGAGACAAGGUUUAUGAACCAGGAAAAGGCUUGGGGGCAUCAUUGCAAGGAAUUUCGGAACCUAUUUUUCCAUUUGGUAACCAGGGUACUUUUGGGCUAGGCUUCAGGCUAACUCAAGCAGAUGAAAACAAAACCAAGCACCGCAAAAAGUAUGGAUGGGUCUUGCAACAACCUAUCCCUCAUAUUUUCUACACUUUGGUCAAGCCACGACUCCAAGAGGGUCAGAAUGCCUCGGCGCAUGCAAACAUUGAUAAAAUUUGCUAUGGCUUAAGCCAAAUGUUUUCUAAAGUGAAUAUGAUCCAGGCUGGUGAAGGAACUAGUCGUGCCGAUAUGCAACCAAUUGACACACACACUAUUCUCACCAACAAGGAAGCAACUCCUCUCCCCACAAGGAAGGAGUCUUGGUAGUUUACUUUUGCAGCUUAUUUUUUGUAUUUUCGGUUACAUUCAGGGUUGUAUCCAAACAUCUUAGUAUGAUUGUUUUAUUUUGAUGUUAACCUGUCUAUCCUUUCGCCAAAAUUCCUCGACGCAUGCAAACAUUUAUGAAAUCUGCCAUGGCCUUAGCCAUAUGUUUUCUGAAGUGAAUAUGAUGCAGGCUAGUGAAGGCACUAUUCAUGCCGAUAUGCAACUAAUUGACCCAGACACCAUGCUCACCAUCUGGGAAGCAACUCCUCUCCCCAUAAGGAAGGAGUCUUAGUAGUUUGCUUUUACAGCUUCUUUUUUGUAUUUUUGGGUUACUUUCAGGGUUGUAAUCCAAACACUCAGUAUGAUUAUUUUGUUUUGAUGUUAACCCUUCUAUCCUUUCGAAUUCAAUGAAAUGCAAUUCCAUUUUCUAUUAAGUUUUCUAUCUUUUCCUAUUCCUAAUUCCUGUCAUUUUAUUUCCAUUUCAGUUUUGUUAAUGUCGGCUUUAAUAACAUGAUAUGGAUGCAGAAUUCACCCCCAGAUCUUGAAAAGCUAUCUAAUAUUGAAAUAACGCAUCAAGAGGUAGAAUACGAUGAAGAUGAGGUUGUUGAGGAAAUGAAAAGAGAGUUGGAAUAAUUUGAAAACAAGCCUAAGCCAAACCUCAAUGAAAUCGGGCCGAUUAAUAUUGGAAGUCCUGAAGAAGUUAGAGAAACAAAGAUAAGCAUUCACACCGAGAAAAAAACCAGAGAUGCCUUGAUUAAACUUUUAUUUGAAUAUGGUGGUUCCUAAGCUUCCUACAUUUCCUGGUUUUCCACCAGUCCAACAAAAGCAACGAAAAUUUAAAACAGACAUGAGUGACAAAAUCAAAUAGGAAAUAAUGAAGCAACUGAGCGCCAAUGUGGUCAGAGCUGUCCGAUACACUACUUGGGUGGCGAAUGUUGUGCAUGUGCCGAAGAAGGAUGGAAAGACCAGAGUCUGUAUUGAUUACAGGGACCUGAACAAAGCAAGCCCAAAGGAUAAUUUUCCUUUACCAAAUAUCCACAUUCUUGUAAAUAAUUGCACAAAGCAUGAGAUACAAUCGUUCGUGGAUUGCUAUGUUGGGUACCACCAAACUUUAAUGGAUGAGGAUGAUGCAGAAAAGACCGCUUUCACCAUUCCAUAGGGUACUUAUUAUUACAGGGUCAUGCCAUUCGGUUUAAAUAAUGCAGGAGCAACUUACAUGAGGGCUAUGGCCACAAUUUUUCAUGACAUGAUGCACAAAAGGAUUGAAGUGUAUGUCGAGGAUGUCAUCAUAAAGUCAAAGACACAAGCUGAUAACGUGUGUGAUUAGAAAAAAUUCUUUGAACGGCUUCGAAUGUAUGACCUUAAGCUUAAUCCAGCCAAGUGUGUAUUUGGGGUUCCAUCUCGGAAACUCCUUGGCUUUAUAGUCAGCCGAAGAAGCAUUGAACUAGAUCCAUCUAAGAUAAAGUCCAUUUGAGAUCUUCCCCCCUGAAGAAUAAAAAGGUAGUCAUGAGUUUACUUGGGAGGUUGAACUAUAUCAGUAGGUUCAUUGCUCAACUCACAACCACGUGCGAGACCAUAUUUAAGUUGCUUAAAAAAGAUACCGCUAUCAAGUGGAUGGACGAUUGCCAAAAGCUUUCGACAUGAUCAAAGAUUAUUUGUCAAAACCCCAUGUAUUGGUCCCACAUGAACCUGGUAGGCCUUUAUUUCUAUAUCUAUAGGUGAUGGAUAAUUCCUUUGGAUGCAUUCAUAACAUGAUGCAACAGGAAAAAAGGAACAAGCAAUCUAUUAUUUGAGAAAAGAAGUUUAGCAAUUAUGAGGUUAAGUACACCCUUUUCGAAAGGACAUGUUGUGCCUUGACUCGUGUCGCUUAGAAGCUGAGACAUUAUCUUUUGGCCCACACUACUUACCUCAUAUCCUGAAUGAAUCAUUUGAAGUACAUCUUCCAAAAGCCAAUGCCCACCGGCAGGCUCGCAAAAUGGAAAAUCCUGCUCACAGAGUUUGAUAUCGUCUAUGUCACUCGCACCGCGAUGAAAGCACAAGCUUUGGCAUAUCAUUUGGCAAAAAAUCUAGUUGAUGACGAGUAUAUGCCACUCAGCAUAUACUUCCCAGACGAAGAGUUCAACUUAGUAGAGGAAGUGAUUCCAGACGAUCACCUUGUAUGGAAACUGUAUUUUGAUGGGGCUGUCAAUAUCAAAGGAGUUGGGAUAGGGGCAAUCUUCAUCUCACCUAUUGGACAUCAUUUCCCUGCAAUAACCCAACUUCGAUUCUUCUAUACUAAUAAUACGGCAAAAUACGAAGCUUGCAUCAUGGGUUUGAAAAUGGCCAUCAAUCAGGAUGUGCAUGAACUAUUGCUAAUGGGAGAGAUUCUAACUUGCUUAUCCGGCAAGCCGAAGGUGAAUGGGAGACUCGAGACAUCAAGCUUAUCCCGUAUGUACAUUUUGUGCAUGACUUGAGCAAAAGAUUCAAAUCCGUCGAGUUCAUGUACAUUCCCAGGUUUCACAACGAGCUAGCCGGUGCCUUGGCUACUUUAGCCUCGAUGCUCCCUUAUCCAGGCAACAUUGAUAUUAAUCUACUAGAAAUCCAAGUUCAGAAUCAACACGGUUAUUGCAAUACAAUUGAGACAGAACCAGACGGUGAACCAUGGUAUCUGACAUAAAACAAUUUCUGAAAACGAGAGAAUAUCCAAAGUAUGCUAAGGGAGAUCAAAAAAAACUAUAAGGCGACUUGCCAGUGGUUUCUUUUUGAAUGGGGAAAUUCUGUAAAAGAGGACUCUAGAUAUAAACUUAUUGAAAUGCAUAGAUGCUAUUGAAGCAGAGAGGAUCAUGAGUGAAGUACAUCCGGGGGUAUGCGGCCCUCACAUGAAUGGAUAUGUUUUGGCGAAGAAGAUUCUGCGAGCAGGGUAUUAUUGGCUUACUAUGGAGCGAGAUUGCUUCAAUUUUGUUUGCAACUGUCACCAAUGCUAGAUUCAUGGUGACCUGAUUCAUUCGUCUUCUUCGGAGUUGCAUCCCAUGUACUCUCCUUGGCCUUUCAUUGCUCGGGGAAUGGAUUUCAUUGGGCCAAUCGAUCCAAAGGCUUCAAAUAGGCAUAGAUUCAUUUUGGUUACAAUUAAUUACUUCACCAAGUGGGUGGAGGCCGUCACUUUCAAAGUAUUCACCAAGAAAGAAGUUGUAGAAUUUGUUCAUUCAAACAUCGUCUGUCACUUUGGUAUCCCAAAGACCAUCAUCACUGAUAAUGCAGCCAAUCUUAAUAGUCACUUGAUGAAGGAGGUAUGUGAACAAUUUAAAAUCAUGCAUCGCCAUUCUACCCCUUACUGGCCAAAAGCCAAUGGAGCCGUUGAAGCGAAAAAUAAGAACAUCAAGAAGAUUCUUAGGAAGAUGAUCCAAGGUUCCAGACAAUGGCAUGAAAAGUUGCCUUUUGCUCUUUUAGGAUACCGCAUGACUGUAUGCACAUCUGUUGGUGCAACUCCAUAUCUGCUUGUGUAUGGAACAAAAGUUGCAAUACCCGCGAAAGUCGAAAUUCCCUCUCUCCAAAUUAUUAUGGAAUCAGAGACUGAAGACACUGAGUGGGUCAAGACCCGAUUAGAACAACUGAUGUUGAUCGAUGAAAAACGGCUAGCAGCAGUGUGUUUCGGCUAGUUAUACCAACAAAUAAUGGCACGCGCAUACAAUAAGAAAGUGCGCCCGCAGAAGUUUGAGGUAGGCCAACUGGUUUAGAAACACAUCCUUCCGCACCAAAUAGAAGCUAAAGGAAAGUUAGCCCCAAAUUGGCAAGGACCCUACAUCAUCAAGAAAGUGUUACCAAAAGGGGCCUUGCACUUGGUUGAUGAAGAAGGAUGGGUACCAAACAUGACUAUUAAUGCAGAUGCAGUCAAAAGAUAUUAUGUCUAAUAUAUGCCCACUGUAGAAUUUUUGCGCGUUUAUUUUCUCAGAUUGAAGUGACGAAGGCUAUCAGUUUCUCGCUAUUCCAAAUAGGUGUCACCCUACUAUUAAUCCUUUUGAGUUUGUAUUUGUCUUCCUUGUUUAUCACGUUUUGGAAACUGUGUACUUUUAAAAAAAAAAGAAGCCAAAACAAAUUUAUGAGUCAUUGAACUGCGUCUGACCUGAUUCUGAAAGGAUAUGUAGGCAACCUUACCCUGGGUUCGGUCCCAUCAGAACAAAAAAUCCAUAUUCCGUAUACUCCAAAACUAGGGCAGAAGUUUGUUUUAUUUCAUGGUUUUUCUGUAAAAACGGUUCCAAAAGUUGUUAAUUUAGUUCAAGGUUCAUUUCGCCUUUUUACCUUUCAAGAACUUCUUAUUAAUGUUUUUGAGAAUGUUCGAAGUCCCCAUGCCAAAGGCAUUGAGUAACCUCCCUCAUGCAGUAUCUUAAUCAAAAAAAAGGAAAAAGAAAGAAAAAAAAAGAAAGAAAAAAAGAACAAAAAAAAAGAGAAAAAGAAGAAAAGAAAUGAGAGAGCUUUAUCAUUGAAAACCCGUACGCGCACUAUAAAGCGACAGUGACCAGAGAAAUGAGAGACUCUUAUUGGUGAAAAUCCAGAUGGGCACCAUAAGGCGGCGGUUAGUAGAUAAAUGAGAGAGGUUAGUUAGCGAAAACCUGCAAAAGGCGCUACUAGGCGAAUGAGGGCCCUUAAUUCUUCAGCAUGAGCACAACCAAGACAAAUUAAAGAUGAACGUUUUCGGCGGAUUUUGAGAAUUAGCCAGCUUAGACGGAUCAGGUGUCCAGUCCAAAAUACAUGUCAUGAUUCAUUGAAGUAGACACACAACUCUAUAUAAGUCUCCCUAUUCCUUUCCCCGAAAGGGACACCUUUUGUUUAUGCACAGUUCUGUUUCACUUUACAGUUAUUAUUCGGUUUUACCCAUAAUUUUUCUUUGAGUCCCUUUCGAUCUAAUACUACAUCAAAAGCGAAGCAAAGAAAGGGCUGCAAAACCAGCUACAAUUUCCCUGCAAUGUUGAGCAAAAUUUGGGGCAUAUAUGGCAUUCACGAAGGAAUGAAUCCAUCGGUGAUCUCAUUCAAUAAGACGAACAAAGUGUUUCAAAGACACUUAAUAGUCGCACGAGCUGAACCUGCUUCAUGAUAAAAGUUGAUAAGCACUACAUACACAAACUGAUAUUAGGUGCAAGACAAGUGAGUUUGAUUUUAAAGAAAAAUAGUCUUGCCUUAGAGACAAGGGUAGCAGUACCAUGGACAUCUGGGUAUGAAAUAGUUGGAGGCAACAUUGGAAAGCCAAGGUCUCCAGAAAAUGAUACAGAGUAACCGAGCAUCUCGGUACCGUGCCGACAGAAUCGGUUCUUCGACAGCAGUGGCCAUGAAUAAAAAUACUCAAGGCAUCAAGGGAUCAAGGCCACAGACCAACAACCACUUUGAAAAUUCAUAAAUUUUUCUUUGUUUGAAGAAGGAACAUAGCAGUGUAGAAUGGCAAUUCUAAAAGAACAAAUGUCACCAAACGUAAGCUCUUUAAAAUCUCCAUUUUUCUUUUUUUAUCAUGCUACACUAUUGUUCAUACCUCCCAUUUUUGUAGCUUAACUUAGGUAGAAUCAUUUCGCCUAAGGGGAUCCAGCUCAUAGUUCCGGGUAGAAGUACUCUUUUCUCAGGUUGAUUUAUGCAGCUUAACUUAGGUAGAAUCAUUUCGCCUAGGGGGAUCCAGCUCAUAGUUUCGGGUAGAAGUACUUUUCACUCAGGGUGUUUAAUACACCUUAACUCAGGUAGAAUCCUUUCACCUAGGGAUAUCCAGCUCAUAAGUUCGAGUAGAAGUACUCUUCGCUCAGGUUGUUUUACAUAUCUUAACUCAAGUAGAAUCCUUUCGCCUGGGGGGAUCUAGCUCAUGUUCCAAGUAGAAGUACUCUUUGCUCAACGUGUUUAACACAACUCAACUCAGGAAGAAUCCUUUCUCCUAGGGGGAUCCAGCUCAUAGUUCCGGGUAGAAGUACUCUUAGCUCAGGUUAUUUUACGCAGCAUAACUAAAGUAGAAUCCUUUCACCUAAGGGGAUCCAACUCAUAGUUCCUGGUAGAAGUACUCUUUGCUCAGGGUGUUUAAUAUAGCUUAACUCAGGUAUAAUCCUUUUGACUAAGGAGACCAGACUCAUAGUUUCGGGUUUAAGUACUCUUCACUCAGGGUGUUUAAUACAACUUAACUCAGGUAGAAUAAUUUCGCCUAGGGGGAUCCAGCUCAAGUUUCGGGUAGAAGUAAUCUUCGCUCAGGGUUUUUAAUACAGCUUAACUCAAGUAGAAUCCUUUCGCCUAGGUGGAUCCAGCUCAUAGUUCCGGGUAGAAGUACUCUUCGCUCAGGUUUUUUACACUGCUUAACUCAGGUAGAAUCAUUUUGCCUAGGGGGAUCUAACUCAUAGUUCCGGGUAGAAGUAAUCUUCGCUCAGGGUUUUAUACAAUUUAACUCAGGUAGAACCUUUUUCACCUAGAUAGUUUGAAUACUUAAUUAAUACAUGGUGCUAACACCUGACUCUAUUUCCUUCCAGUAAGAUAGGUUACAGGCCCCUGGUUACAUUUCUUUUCAGUAGUACAUGGGUACCGAUCCCUAGUUACACAAUCAUUUGUUACCAAAAUUUUUAUUUCUUUUAGCUAGUUUAUACUACUGUUUCUGUCUGCCUUUUCAAUAAAUUAGAUAAUUUACAAAUUUCUCUAAUAACUCAUAAAAGUUUUCUAGUGCUAGACUGGGGCAGAAAAAUUUUGUUCGUUUUUGUUUGUCUUUGGUGUCUUUGCAGGCUCUGCUGUAUAACACAAACGACGAUUAAAGCUUGUAGUUUCAGUUUCUCAUCAGAAUAAAGAAGUCUUUCGAUCAGGAGAUAGUCGGAGAUAGCUUUGAUAAUUUGUCAACAACCCGGCUUCUCAAGAUUCAUCUUCUCAAAUUCUUAUCCAGACAGCAAGCAAUCGAGAACAAGCCAUAAUCUUUUCUUCAAAAAGGCCAGCAAGAUCCAAUCUAAGAUCAACACAAGUGAGCAGAUCAAGAAUCAAGAUUUGACUCCACAAGACACAUAAAUAAGAAUUUUGUAAUUCUUAGCAUGCAAGAAUAUGAAGUUCUCUCCUUCUUUUGAUAUACGCAGCCAGUAACAGUCAACAACAACGCAAAAACAGCAACGAUCUUAACUUUAGUGUCUGGUAGUCCCAGCUGCUAAAUUUUUUCAGUACUACACUGACCUGAUUCCUUUAUAGCCAAGGAUAUGUAGGCAACCUCAGAAGCAAGGUUAGGUCUCUAACUUUUUUAAAAUGCUUCCAUUGGAGUGAUAUGUGAGCAAAGAUUAGACAUUGCGUUCACUUUUCUUUGCACGACAACUCUUUAUAUUCUCGAGCAAAGAGGGGCAGUUGUGAAUACCUAAUUUUUGCAUACUUUUAAUUCUCCUAGAAAUACUAGUAUUUUGUUGAUUUUUAGUUAUUUGUGUAUUUUUUAUAUUUCAUUUCUUUAUUAAAAAUACCAAAAAUAUUUUUACCUUUUAUUUGUAUAGUUUAGUUUUCAUUUUUAAAUUAUAUAUUCCCAAAAAGAUUUUUCUCUCUACUUGUAUAUUUGUUUUAAGAUUAAAUAAGAUAAUUAGGGGAUAGGGGAUUGGGCUAGUAUAUUUUAAUUGAAACUGAGCCAAAAUUGGCCCAAAAUGUGAGCCCAUUUCGUUCAAAUCCGGUCCAUAAGGGGCUUCCAUAGGAGGCUUGAAACGACAUAGUUUUAUAUCAAAACUACAUCGUUUUGGUUAAGUGACAUAGAUUUAAUCUCGUCCAUUCAUAGCCCUUUGAUCCAAUGGUUCAAAUAUGAUCUUUAUUUUUAAUAUUUAACACCAAAAGAAGCCAAAAUUUGCCCUUAUUUUUUCCUAUUAUCUUUUUCACUCAUCUCUCUACUCUCCCCUUUCUCACAGAACCAACCGCCCAGCGUCGCCCAGCUCCACCAUUGGAAAUCGCCCACCGGCAGCAGCCAACCUCCAAACACCCUCAAAUUACACUAUUCUUUUCAUAUCCUCACCCUCUUUCUAUAUCCACAACCCAAACACCCCAAAUAUCUACCAAAAAUUGACAGACCAAAACCCUAGUCGCGUCGCCACUUCUGCCCCGGUGCCUCUGCCCCUUUACUGUUUAAAGGGUUGUUUGGAGUACACUGCUCUUAGCAUUGUUCAUAGUUGGUGAAGAAUUGUCUUUUAGACAGAUUUUUGACCAAAAAAUUUGUCCUUUGAAUAGUUGGGACAGAUUUUAGGUGGAAAAUCCGUCCUUUGGAUAGAUUGAAUUAAAUAAUUCAAUCCCGCUCCUUUCCUAUAAAGGAAGAGGUCUUUCCUCGCUUAAAGAGGAGGAGAAGACAUGCUAUCUUUCAUUGGAACAAAUAGCUUCUGAACAUCUUGUACACCGAGAAAAAUACAAAAACUUUGAGAAAAAUCAGCAACUAAAACAUCGAAAAGUGAGCUGAAAAACUGAAAGUUUACGAGUUUUUUCUUCGUUUCCUAAGUCGGUGAGAUUUUGUUCUGGGUUUCUGAGUCACUUCGGAUCUAAAAGACUGCUCUUCGGUUGCUUUUUUAUUUGGCUGGAGUUUGGCUUGCUGGUUCCCUGCUCUGCUAUCUGUUUUUCUUCUAUUUUCUGCAAAUUAGGUAUUUUUUAGCUCUUUAAUUUAGCUUUUAGCUGCAUAAAGCUAUUGCAAUGAAUGUGUUGAUGUGCUAUUAUUGUUACUUUACAUUUGUAUUGGAUCUUGUGCUCAUAAAUUGAUAAAUAAAUAUUCAACUUCAUGAAUAUAUGCUCUGGUUCUCUUUUAUGCUUCAGCUCUCCUAAACUCAAAAGUUGUGCAUGAUUGAAGCUAUGGUGAUAGAUUUAGGGCAUAGUUGAGUUGAGGAGCAAGUAAAUAUAAGACACAUUUGAAAUACUUCGAUUGUUGAAAGCUUAGAUAAAUGUUGAGUUUGUAAGUCGAAGAUGGUGUAUGGUAGAGUUUAAGCUUAAGAGCAGUUGUAUUGACAUUCUUUGGUCAAAGUUUCUUUUUUGUUGUGAUUAUGAAUUUGUACUAGUUUGCUCUAGUUUUCUUAUAAGGGUUUUUAUUUCUUUUCUUUAAGUUUGACAUAAACUUUGUUCCCUUAUAUUAUCAUUUGCGUUAGCAGAGUUUUUGCAAAUAAGUUUCAAUAUAAAGUGUUUAUGUAGAUAGCACAUUUUUUUCGUUUAUUUAUGCGUUCUAUAGUUCGAAUAUAAGAAUGGAUAUUUAGAAGUUCCUUCUUAGUUUUAAUAUCUUUUAAAAGGUUGUUAAAAUAUGUUUUAGCUUGAAAAAUUGUGUAUCAUUAUGGAGUUAGUAUUCAUGUUAGAGUGAAUUUGGUAGUAAAAUUAAGCUUGUUUAGAAAGAAUGCUCUUCUAUAUAUAUUUUAAAGAAUUCCUGUAGGAUAGUAAGUUAUCAAAUUAAGUUUUUACAUGUGCUUCUAAAUGUUUAUACGGUAAACUAAAAAGGUAUCUUUCUUUUAUGUCUUUGUUUGUCUUUGUAAAAACAAAUGUUUAAGUUGAAAAAGAUAAGGUUUUGGAUUGUUAGAAGUAUGAGUUUAGAUUUUGGUUCAAGAAAUCAUUUUCAACCUAAAUAAUUUCCAGCCGCCCAGCACCAAUAAGAUCCAGCAGCUGAUCCAUUUGUUUAAGUUUAUAACAUAGCCGACCUAUUCUGUUUUUCUCCAAGGGCUGGCCCAAUGGCCAAAGUGGUCCAAGGGCCAACUGUUCAAGCGCCCAAAUAGCUGGCUCAUUCCCCUUUAAAGUUGCCAAUACUAAUAAAAAUCGGUCCACUUUUAGUAAGGGGGUUAUCUAUUCUUUAAAAUAACAACCUAAUGCAAUUUAUAUAUAUAUUCUCAUCUAAUCGAAAUGAUUCAAUAAAACGUCAAUUUUUUUAUUUUACUAAAUAAAUUAUAACUUAGUGUCUUUUAUAAUUAAUUAAGUGAUAGAAAAUUAGUAGCCGCACUUUAAUCUUUUUAUUUACGGAAUCGCUUGCGUAGCGCGAUGUUUAACACUCAAUAAAUUAAUUCAACAAUCUCAUGCCAUAUUCGUUAGCUUUAGUCAAUUUUUUUUAAUUUUGCUAAUCCUUUGCUAAAAAUCGUGGAUUCUCUUUGCGUAGUGCGGUAAUGACAUUUAAUAAAUUUUUAAAAAAGAAAUUUCUCAAAGAAUAAUUGUAGUGAUUUUUUAAAAGUAAAUGACGCACUAAUAAUUGUUUGUCAUGACUGCAUAUUCACUUACGUAGCACUGUUAUGACUAAAUAAUAAAUUUCGUCGAUCACGCAUUCGCUUGCGUAGUGUGGUAAUGAAUCUUAUUAUUCAAAAAAUGUUCUUUAAUUUUUCUAAUAAACAAGAAAUAAAAGUGGUUAGGUAAAACAUGAAAAGUCAUAUAAUUCACAGUUUGUCCGAAAUUAAUUUAAGACAAAUUUUAAGUCAACAAAGAGACCGUACUAGAACCACAGGAUCGGGGAAUGCCUUACACCUUCUCCUCGUUCAGCAGAAUUUCUUACCCGAACUUUAUUUUUGCGGAUCGAUAAAAAUAGAGUCAACUUUCCUUUGACUGGGGAUUUAAAUAAAAGGGACUUGGAACACCGAAACCCAAUUUCAAGUGGUGACUCUGAACAAUAAAAUAAUCCCUAUUUCAAAAAUUGUCACUUUAAUUGGAAAAACUCUUAAACCCACAAAUUCAUAAUACAUAUAUAUAUAUAUUCUUUUGCGGGGUGGAAAAAAGGGGUGUGACGAUCCCUCCUUAUUAUGGUCUCACUUUUAAUGUGUUUGGCUGCUUAUUAUUGGCCACAUGGCUCAUUGUUUCAGUUAUCACAUCCGGAUAUAAUAUAACCACCUCAAUUUAGAUGAUACACUUUUUUUAUUAGUCCAUUAAAAAAAGAAUGAUAUUUUUUUUAUUUAGAAAUAGUUUCACUUUUAAUUUUUUAUUCUACUCAUACUUUUAAUGAGAAGCUUUUUUCGUCACAUAAAUAUCAUGACCUCACUAAACUUUUGCCCCUUAAGCUUUUAGCACCACAUAUUUUUAAAGUCUUCUUUUUUCCUUAAACUUUAUGUCAUGUAAACCUACAUCGUAUAAAUUGAAACGGUACGAGUAAUGAAAUGUAAUGAUUGGGGUAGUUUUGCAGUAGUAGUACCAUUAAUCAAGUUAUGCAUACAUUCCUCAUAGUGUCUGCAAUAUUUUAGAUAAACUCAGGCAAUUUUCUGUGGAGAGAGUCCUCUAAUCGUAGGAAAAUUCACCUUGUUAGAUUGGUACUAUGUUUUUCUUCCAAAUCCUUUCGGUGCGAAUUGCUUUUUUCCAAAUAUAUUCACCUUCACACCACUUUGGACGACAAUAGUAGUAUUUCUCUUAAUUGGAGAGGAAUUUGCAAUACUAAACCUACUCAAGAUAAAGUAAAAAAAAAGUUUCAUAGGGAACAAUGGUAGUGUUUUUUUGUGAACUAUUGGAGGGCUGCUAAGAAAACCUAAUCUUGCCAUGCGAUAUCCCUAAUCAGUUGGGUUAUAUUACUGUCAUGUAGUAGAUGGAUAAUUCUGCUUUUUGUGGUUGUACUUUUAGUAAUAUGAAUGUACCCUAACAUGCGAUAUAUGAUGUUAGAUAUAUCCCUCUACAAAUAGAUGUGCGUGAGUAUGGGGGUUGUUUGGGGAAAAAAAUAGCAUGUUGACCAGGUAAGAUACAAUUUGUGGCCAAUGAUCAGAUAUGACGAUCUUGACUGAUUCUAAGGCUAAAUUUUGUGACUCCACCAGUUUACUAGCAUAAAUAUGACAAUUAAAAGAGUUUUAUUGUUGUAGAAGAUCGUGGGUUAAUAUUGAUAUCUCUAUUCCGAGCAUGCUUUAGUUGUUAUCAUGUAACGACCCGGUGGGUCACUUUAUGCAUUGCAGUCAUGUUCCUUUAUUUAUCGCAUCUUCUAUAUACAUUUGUGGUUAUGUGACUUGUCGGAGUGGUUUAUUUGGUUUCGUAGAUGUAUCGGAGUGAAUUGGGACACUUAGUCUCAAGGUUGGAAGCUUAAGUUGAAAGUGUUGACCGGAGUUUGACUUUGUGUAGGACUCCGAAAUGAAAUUUCAAUGGUUCCAAUAGCUUCGUAUGUUGAUUUGGGACUUGGGUGUCCGGAUAUUGAUUUGAAGGUCCAUAGAUAGUUUGAGGCUUUUUGGCGAAAGUUGGAAAGUUAAAGGUUGAGAGGUUUGAUCGAGAGUUGAUUUUGUUGAUAACGCAUUUAAAUUUUGAUUCCGGGAAGAAUAGUCUUUUGUGUCAUUUGGGACUGGUGUGCAAAAUUUGAGGUCAUUCAGAGUUGAUUUGAUAUAGUUCAGCAUUGGUUUUAGAAUUUGGAAGUUCAUUAGACUUGAAUUGAAACGCGUUUCAUGAUAUUUUGUUGUUUAAUUUCAUUUGAGGCUUUAACUAAGUUUGUAUCGUGUUUUAGGAUAUAUUGAUAUGUUAGCAUGGGGCUUCGCCUCUGAUCUACUCUUGAUGUUCCCAAGUACACCGUGACACACUUGGUGUUCACAACAGAAUGUGUAUCAAUUAAUUGUAUGAUUUUGUGAUAAGAAUAUAUGAGAAGACACAUUUUGGUACUCAUUAAGUUGGUGUAAACACCGGAUGCAAGCUAGGGUUCUCCAAGACCCAACAUAGAUUCUCAACUAAAAUUAUAUCAUUUGUAUACUUCUGGGUAUUAUUCUGAUGGAGAUAACAAAAAACAUGUCAUCUGUAAGCUACUGAACUGCGCUAUACAGGAGACAUACAAAUGACUAUAACAAGGUAAAAACAAUAUCAUGCUAGAUUAUAUUUUAAUUAGUAAAACUUAUUGCUAAGGUUUCCACUGAUUUUCCCACUGAGGUUCCCGCUGAGGUUUCCACUGUUGGUUGCUCCUUCUUGAACCUGAAUUGAGUAUUGCAUAUGCCAAAGAACAUCUACAAUUGAUGGCCUCCUGCUCGGUUCUUUUUCAAGACAAUUUACUGCAAUCUGGACUAUAGUUUUCAACGAUUCAUAUGCAAAUGCACCGCGAAUACAAGGAUGUGUUAAAUCUCGUAGCUUUGAUGGUGAUUCCGCUAAGCAAGUCUCCACCUGCAUGUCAUGGAAGACACAAUUUCUAUUUUGAGGGUGUCAGACGGAUUUAAGUUAUAUACACUGACAUCAUAGUCCCGGAGGCCUCAGGUGUAAUUCUGAUUGAAAUCAGAUUGAGAUUUUUUAACUUAAGGAAAUGCUUAAGCUUCAGGUCUGCGUGAUUUCGGCCGCAGGUUCGGAGCUGCGGAAGCGGUCAUGUUUGUUUAUUUUUGCGCUUUGGGAAGGAAGUGUGGGAGCGCACAUGUGAAGGUGAUUCCGUAGAAGCGGAUGCACUUUUGCACAAGAAGGUCGGAGCGAGGUUUGGUUGGAGGCAGGGAGGGGUAGGUUCCGCAUCUGUGAGACCGCAAAUAUGGUCAUUUGGGAACAUAAUAAAAAAUGGGUAUAUUUUUGGGAAUCCGUAGGUGCAGAACAAGUAUGAUAGAAACGAUACCACAUGUGCGUUAUUGUGGCCGCAUAUGCCGUAAGGUCGAGGGCUUAUGUGAAACUCGCUGGUGCAAGACUUUGACCACAGAAGCGAUGAUUGGGUCGCUGAUGGGAUUUCACUGGCACAUGUUAUAUGUCAAAGGAUUUGACAUUUUUCUCUUUUUUGGAGUUAGGGAGAUUGACUAAGGGAAAUUAUUUGAGCACUUUUCGCCAUAAUUGAAAAGGUAAGCGAAGAUUCCUCACUUUUAUUGAUAAAUAUUGAUUACCUAUUGAUUUAUUACACCUAGUUUAUAUGAUUUUGAAGUAAAAUUUUGGGAUGUUAGAUUGUGUUGUUGAAGAAUAAAAUUAAGGAUUUGGAGGUCGAUUUGUAGUCAAAAUUGGAUAAUUUUGAUAUGGUUGGACUAGUAUCAAAAUGGGCGUUCGAAAUUUGCUAGUUUGACCAGGUUUUGGGCUGCGGGUCUAGGGUGGAUGUUUUUGUUUGACUUUCUGAUUUUGGUUAAAGAUCUUUGUUAUCAUAUGGAAUAGAUUCAUAUAGUUUGUGUUUAAAAUAUAAACUUGUUUUGGCUAGAUUCAAAGUGUUAGGAGGCGAUUUGCGAGGCAAAGGCUUGUUCGAUUAUUGAUUAGCGUAUUUUGAUGCGAGUAACAUUUCAAAACUUGGAAUUGAGGGUAUUUAUCCUUGUAAAUAUGUUAUUUGUGUUAUGUUGGGGUAACACACAUGUUAAGUGAUGGGCAUAUGAUCAUGCACCAUAGUAAUCAUGAUCCACAUUGAUUCUUUUGUACUGUGUUGUUAUCAAGUCUUGUUAUACUCGUGUAGUUCCUAUUUGUUAGAGUUAUUGAGUUAUGAUUCAUGUUAGAAAUCAUGUUCAUGCUAUGUGCCUAUUCAAUUGAUACUUAAUGAGGCUAUUUCUAAUGUUUUGGAGCUAUCUACUUUAGCUGUAAUUAUAUACUCGGUCAUGAUUUUUUUAUUUUCAUAUUAUAUCUCAGUCUCUAUUCAUCAUUUAUUGUUGCAUCACAUGUUUCAUUGAUUGAGUUUUGUGGUAUGAGAUUGUGAGCCCUUGCGUCUUGAUAGGUCGAUAACUGAGUUGGGCUUUAGAUCCGUGUUGAGAGUGUUACACUGGAUUGGACUGCAUGCCAUAAUAGGCUUAUAGGCUUUGAUGCGCUUGGGCAGGAUCCUCCCCUUCAGAGUCUUCCAAGAAUGAGAUAAAACAAGAUUAGUUUCGCGAGUCAACAGAUCGUACUAAAGACAAUGAAAAAAUUUAGAAAAUGAGAGAUUUUUUAAAAAUAAGUAAAAGCAGAAUGAAAGACAGUCCUAUAUUGACAAGGACGAGCUUUUUCACGAAGAAAGCUUCGCGCCCAACUGCUUGUAUAUCGAUCGGAAAGAAGCAGCUGCAAAUUAUAUCUCAGUCUCUAUUCAUCAUUUAUUGUUGCAUCACAUGUUUCAUUGAUUGAGUUUUGUGGUAUGAGAUUGUGAGCCCUUGCGUCUUGAUAGGUCGAUAACUGAGUUGGGCUUUAGAUCCGUGUUGAGAGUGUUACACUGGAUUGGACUGCAUGCCAUAAUAGGCUUAUAGGCUUUGAUGCGCUUGGGCAGGAUCCUCCCCUUCAGAGUCUUCCAAGAAUGAGAUAAAACAAGAUUAGUUUCGCGAGUCAACAGAUCGUACUAAAGACAAUGAAAAAAUUUAGAAAAUGAGAGAUUUUUUAAAAAUAAGUAAAAGCAGAAUACCAUGGUUUUUGGCCUUCCACCCGUAUUUUGGAGCUAGUUCUUUCCACCGGCAGGUCUCAAGCGUGGUAAUAUCUAGAAUUUUUUGAAUCCACAAGUCUAGAAUUUUUUAACCAUUUUGUUACCCCUACCUUCAACCCUAGGCAGAGUCCACCAAGUUGCUUAAAUAGUGAAAAGAGAAGGAUCAGUAACUACAUGAAACAACCUUUUAUCAGAGAAAAGACAAGCUUUAAACUUACGUGUACAAGUCCAUAACUCAGGAAAAGAUAGGAUUGUGGCUAGAAUGAUAUCCCUAGUGGAAACAACAACAAACCGCUCCAUCCAUCCACUGUCAUUAUCGUCAUCCAUGAUCGUGAGCAAAGCAUGGUAGCGACGUUUGCUAAAGUUAAUAACUCCCCCACGAAAAAUCAUGGGGGAGUCGAGGUUCUUCAUGCGAGCCAAGGUGAGCUCUUCAUUCAUCUCCCAGCACAUCCAUAGUAGGUAGGCUACUUUUCGCCACAUCGAAGAAACCACCUAUGCCAAACAGAUACGAUAUUUGUGGCAUAGCUCCAAAAUUACGGGGUUAAUUCCUCUGCUAAAAGAAAACAUACCCAAACUAAAUGGGUAUGUAUAUAUGUACAUAACCUUCUUAGGGAACGUUACUCACUCCACAUGUUCAAGAGCGGGGAUGUUCACAUCAUAGCAAUCACAUUCCUCCUUCAAAGAAGGAAUGCUAGAAUGACGGAUGGAAGAAGGGUAAACACCAAAACCUCCGUACGAGAGCUUGUAGGAGAAAACUUCUCUUCGAAGUCCUUGGCUGUGUUGUCUUCUGGGAAUGAUAGUGUUCACCGUAAGAGGGACACCAUCAUUGGUGUUCUCUUCGUUUCUAAGAGAACUUGAGUUCUUGGAGAAGAAUCCAUGGUUAGCAGAAGGUUAUAAGAGUUAUUUGUAGAAGAAGACUAUAGAAGAGUAAAGUCAAGAAUGAGUUGGAUGCAAAAAAGUUGAGAGAGUUUGAAGAACUGUGAAAUAUAAAAGAAGAAUAAUGAGGCAUAUAAGUAGAGAAAUAGGCAGCUAAAAUCAUGGCCACUAUUAUCUUGAGAACUGGCAAAAAUAUUGAUAAAUCAUGGAGUGACGCAUGUUCGGGGUAUUAAAUGUGGAGAGACGUGCAUCUAAUCAAGCGUCAGAAACUUUUCAGAAUGGAUCAUAAAAUUUCCCGCCAAGAAAGGAAUCUUCACCAACUUCCCGAUGACACAAAGAUGUGUCACUGAAAAGCAGAGAAGCUAUCUGUAUAAGGUAAAAUCGAUUCAUAUUAAAUAUUCGAAUAAUAGAGAGACACGUAGAAUAGGAGACAGGUGGAAAACGAAGCAAGUGGAAACCAAGACCAAGACAACAACUGCGAUUGGUACCGGGCAGAUCCCGAAAGAAAUAUUGCUAACAAGAAAAGAUGAAUAUUUUUCACCCAAUAACAUUCAAUGAAGAAUAUUCCUCAGAAUUAAAUACUUAAUACAUUAUAAAGAAUUUUUGGCAUUCAUGACCUGCCAUUACACAUUCAUCAAUUGCCCCAUAAUUGUCUUUUAAGAGAGCUUGAUCCUAGGACCUUGUUCCAUAGGAGUAGCAAUAAAUAGUGACUUCAACAACCAUUGUAGGACAUAAAAUUUCUGAUAAACUUAUAAUAUAAAUUAUUCUAAGCUCAAUAAUACUUUAUUUCUGUUGAUAUACUUAUUGCUGUCUCCAGAAUUCUUGCUCCCGGAAUUAAGCUAUUUGCUGUCUUAUCUUGAUUUCAACACUAAGUAUUGCAUUUUAUUUAAUUUACGAAAAAAUUCCGAAUAUGCCCUUGUACUAUACGACAUUGAGCAUAUUUGCCCUUUGUUAAUACUUUAUCCCAUAUAUGCCAUUUUCGUCACAUAGUUGGUCCAUAUAUGUCCUUACAAUCACAUAGUUGGUCCAAAUAUGCCUUUUUUGAAAUGGAACCCAGACGAAUUAAUUAGUUCUUUUAUUAAUUGUACUAAAAUGUGUUACAAACACUAUUUCCUUUUUAUAGUAGCACUUUUUUUCUUU
rnacentral:lncRNA from 1 species